UACGAAGGGGGCUAGCGUUGCUCGGAAUCACUGGGCUUAAAGGGCGCGUAGGCGGGUGCUCAAGUCCGUGGUGAAAUCCUCCGGCUCAACCGGAGAACUGCCUCGGAUACUGGGCGUCUCGAGUGUGGUAGGGGUAUGCGGAACUAUCGGUGGAGCGGUGAAAUGCGUUGAUAUCGAUAGGAACUCCGGUGGCGAAGGCGGCGAUACUGGACCACCACUGACGCUGAUGCGCGAAAGCCAGGGGAGCAAACGGG
rnacentral:rRNA from 1 species